CAGCAGCCGCGGGAAUACGUAGGGCGCAAGCGUUAUCCGGAAUUAUUGGGCGUAAAGAGCUCGUAGGCGGUUUGUCGCGUCUGCCGUGAAAGUCCGGGGCUCAACCCCGGAUCUGCGGUGGGUACGGGCAGACUAGAGUGAUGUAGGGGAGACUGGAAUUCCUGGUGUAGCGGUGAAAUGCGCAGAUAUCAGGAGGAACACUGAUGGCGAAGGCAGGUCUCUGGGCAUUAACUGACGCUGAGGAGCGAAAGCAUGGGGAGCGAACAGGAUUAGAUACCCGCGUAGUCCCUGUCUCUUAUAC
rnacentral:rRNA from 1 species